rnacentral:rRNA from 1 species
GGAUUAAUCUUCCGCAAUGGGCGAAAGCCUAACGGAGCAACGCCGCGUGAGUGAUGACGGCCUCCGGGUUGUAAAACUCUGUGAUCCGGGACGAAAAGGCAGAGUGCGAAGAACAAACUGCAUUGACGGUACCGGAAAAGCAAGCCACGGCUAACUACGUGCCAGCAGCCGCGGUAAUACGUAGGUGGCAAGCGUUGUCCGGAAUUAUUGGGCGUAAAGCGCGCGCAGGCGGCUUCCCAAGUCCCUCUUA